rnacentral:ncRNA from 2 species
GAAGUCCACUAGGGGCGCCCAUUUUUUGGCUGAGAUAAGGAGAAAUCCUUGGUCCCUUUGAACCUGAUCUGGUUAGUACCAGCGAAGGGAAGUGGAGUCGGUUGGAU